AUUGAACGCUGGCGGCAUGCCUUACACAUGCAAGUCGAGCGGCAGCGCGGGGGCAACCCUGGCGGCGAGCGGCGGACGGGUGAGUAAUACAUCGGAACGUGUCCUGUUGUGGGGGAUAACCAGUCGAAAGACUGGCUAAUACCGCAUGAGAUCGAAAGAUGAAAGCGGGGGACCGCAAGGCCUCGCGCGAUUGGAGCGGCCGAUGCCGGAUUAGCUAGUGGCGGGGUAAAGCCCACCAAGGCUACGACCCGUAGCUGGUUUGAGAGAACGACCAGCCACACUGGGACUGAGACACGGCCCAGACUCCUACGGGAGGCAGCAGUGGGGAAUUUUGGACAAUGGGCGCAAGCCUGAUCCAGCCAUGCCGCGUGUGUGAAGAAGGCCUGGUU
rnacentral:rRNA from 1 species